rnacentral:rRNA from 1 species
GGGAUUGCCUCAGUAACGGCGAGUGAAGCGGCAACAGCUCAAAUUUGAAAUCUGGCCUCUGGUCCGAGUUGUAAUUUGUAGAAGAUGCUUUGGGUGAGGCUCUGGUCUAAGUUCCUUGGAACAGGACGUCACAGAGGGUGAGAAUCCCGUACGUGGCCGGUAGCCUUCGCCUAUGUAAAGCUCUUUCGACGAGUCGAGUUGUUUGGGAAUGCAGCUCAAAAUGGGUGGUAAAUUUCAUCUAAAGCUAAAUAUUGGCCAGAGACCGAUAGCGCACAAGUAGAGUGAUCGAAAGAUGAAAAGCACUUUGGAAAGAGAGUUAAAUAGUACGUGAAAUUGUUGAAAGGGAAGCUCUUGCAAUCAGACUUGCGCGCUGUUGAUCAUCCGAGGUUCUCCCCGGUGCACUCGGCAGCGCUCAGGCCAGCAUCGGUUUCGGCGGGUAGAUAAAGGCCUUGGGAAUGUAGCUUCUUUCGGGGAGUGUUAUAGCCCUCGGUGCAAUGUACCCUGCUGGGACCGAGGACCGCGCUUCGGCUAGGAUGCUGGCGUAGUGAUUGUAAGCGACCC